rnacentral:lncRNA from 10 species
CUUAUCUCUAGCAACCAACUUCAUUUGUAAGAUGUCAAUUACAGGACUGAUUUUUCUGGGAGACUUAGAAUCAUUAGAUAAUGACCAUGAGCCAAAGAUUCACUUUUGAGUUUGGUACGCACUGCUUGAAGGCUGGGUAUGACUAUAUGAUUGUUUUUUUUUUUUUUUCUCUCCCAGUUUGAACACAUUAAUUGGCAGAAGUUUCCCCUGUGAUCUUCCAGUACAACAUUCUUCCUGCAGCCACACCUGACCAGUGGGAGGACUGACUAAAUUCUUCAUCCUCUCCAUCCCAUGCCUUUACGUCUGCUGUGUCUCCCACGUGUUCGUGGAUCGUGCCUGAGGCUGGGACAGACAACUCACAACCAUGAAGAAAAGGCAAAGAGAAUCACAAAGAUGCCAGCCCAACGCUGGGAAGCUACUAGCCUACACCAAUGCUAACAACCAUCCAUUUAUGACUUCUUGUCAUGUGAGGAGAAUGAACCUUCUGUGUUUGGAAAAACGAAGGCUCAGAGACCCUGGAUCACCCAGUGAGUAAGCAGCAUGCCCAGGUCUAGCAUACCAUUCUCCUGCUUUCAGCUCUUGUAUGCUAUCCACAUGCUUACAGCAUGCUUGGACAAUGCAGAAACUCAGCUUUGGUACUUUGGGUAAUCUGUUCAUCUGUGAAAUGGGAUAACUCAUGCUGAUCUACGGACAAAAAUAACUGUAAGGAUGACAUGAAAUGAUGCAGAUAGCAGGCACUCAAAAAACAGAGCUCUAUCAACAUUCCUGCUUCCUCUCAAUGACUGGCACUGAACCGUCCUUAACACCCCAUUUCUAAGCCAAGAGAUUCUUCAAGACCAAGCCAAGUCUGCCGUGCCACUGUCCCCCGCAGGAGCCUCUGGCUUCAUCAAGCCCACAGAUCCACAGUUGCUUUGUUCGCCGAGUGACAUUUCUAUCAGGCACCACCUUGGGCUGGUCACAGAAACUUCGUAGGAGCCAUCAGUCCUGGAGCUCAGUACCCCAGGGUUGAUGCCUUGACAACUGUGUCACCACUCUCUUAUUACCUAUCUGGAGGGUCACCUUUCUGACAGACAGCUUUGAAAAUUCUUUAUUAAACUUUUUUUUUUUUUUAGUAGAAAAGACAGAUUAUAGUUCUGACAUGCUCUACUUAUUAUGACAUGAAACAAUGUUCUUAUUUCUUUUGCUUGGGGAUGUUGAACUGCUGGCUUUGGCCCAUGUGGGGUGUCACAAUGAUGUAUUAGUUAUUAGGUCAGACUUUCCGUAACCUUUACGUAUUCAUUUAUUCACUCACUCACUCACUUACUCACUCACUCACCUAUACAUUUGAAAGUCUACUGUGAACCGGGUCUAACAGAGGUUAGACAUUUAGUGGAUUACACAAAAAAAACAAAACAUUUACCCUCAGUCUUUGAUCUGAGGAUGUCCCAGUUUAAUAGGCAAUGCAAGGGGGCAAAAAAGAUAAAAUUUUACCGCCGUGGUAAGUGAAAUAAAAGACCUAUGUGUUGUACUUGGUAACAUAACUUUGGCAGGAUGGAAACCAGAAUUGGUAGUGUAUCUGUAGAGUGGGGUGCCUGGUUCACUCUGGAUGAUGACAGGUGGUACAGCAGCAGAGGCUGAAGACUAGAUUUUGUUGGAAUACUCUAUAAUCUGUGUAUAGGAGAAGGAAGAGGAGCUGAUCAUUCACAGUUGAAAUAAGCUGGUGACAGGUACUCCUCUCCAAAAGAAGGCCUGGGUGCCAGAUUUUGGGCUCAGAGUGACUUAAUAGUUCUGAUACACAUUUGAUAAAUAAUAUCACAAAGGCACCACUGAACAUCUGAAUAUAUGAACAGAGAGCUAUGAAAAAGGUAGUGACUAACCCUGCCAGGGGAGGUGUAGGAAGUGCCCCAGAAAAUAUGAUAUUUGAAGAGGGCAUUAAGCAUUCAGAGGGCAUUAAGCAUCCAUGAGAAGCGGAAGUAUGGCAUCUGAGCAGAGCAAAGGUGAAGGUGACAUGCUCUGAGAAGGAUGAGGAUUUCUUCAGAACAAAGUAUGAUUGGGGGCUGGGGUGGGAGGUGAAGCUCAGGGCACGUUGGGACCAUUUUAACACCAGGUCAUGGAGUCCAGGCUUUCUCUUCAGUAGGACUUGCUGGGCUGGUGGCUGGUUUAUGCAGAGGAGUGUUAUGAGAGACUGGAGUGCAGACAAAUCUCUCUGCGGGCGGUAUGGGUUUAUGGGAGGGUAGACUGAAAGCUCAGAGACACAAGGCAAAGAAACAGGUCAGGUGGCUACUACAACCACCCAAAAAGAGAAGCUGGGAGACCUUCCCUCAGGUUUCAAUCCAGCUAAGGCCAGUAAAACCCAUGUGUUCAUUUAGGAGACUCUUGUAUAUUUAUUAAAUAAAUAAACAAAAGAGAAAAGGCCAGGGAUCAAUGAGUUUCUUAAACAAAAAUUUAAAAGGCAAAACUAAGAUAUGUUAAAUAACACCUAGUAGAAUUUAAAGUGUACAUACUUUGUGGAAUAAAUGCAUAAAGACAUCAGAAAUAAUCAAGUAUGGAAUAAGGGUAUGGGUCUAGUGAAACAGGGCACUGAAAAAGCUGUAAACUUCCCAGGCAGAAACCUCUGCUCUCAUCCUGAGUCUGUUUUCAUUUAUGUAUCAUGUGAUAUCAUGUAUCAUGUGCAAUACAUGUGAUUAGUAAUUUGACUCACCCCCUCAGUAAAAGUCACAGUUCCUGUUUACCGAGCACCUGCUAGGCUUAAUCAUGCACAAUGCUCAGGAUACCACCUAUAUUAUCUCAGCCAAUCUGAACAACAAUGGCAAAGCAGGCUUUAUCAGGCCUGAGGUUCAGAGAGUUUAGGGAUUUACCCAAGGUUGCGGAGCAGUCAGCAGAAUUGAGAUUUGACCCUGAUCUAUCCAGCUGUGGAAAGAUUCUCUGCGACGGUACAUCCUCUGCGAUGGUGCGCCCUAGAAUGUCACUUGACUAAGAACAAAUAACAACAAAAGAACUCACCUACGUUCCUUCUAACUAAAGGAUGUGUUUAUUAUUUCCCCUUUCUAACACCACACUCCACAGAACUACUUAUCUACAUUUAUUUAACAAGGCACAUAACUUACAGGUGCCGUAGGAAAGAAGGAAGGAAUGAAGACAACAAAGCAGGAAGGCAGGCAGGAAGAAAAACACCUAUAAAAUCAAGGGCAGUAGAAACCACAGAAGAAAGCCAGAAAACCAGCCAGAUAGAUGGCUGCUGAAACAAUUCAAGAGAGACAUGAUGAUCUACUAUAAUGGCGGUGGAGAACAGAUAGAAGGCUGGUGAGCAGGUGCUCAGGGAGUCUGUCUUCUAUGGUUACAGAGAAUGCUCCUGCAAUGGUCCUGGAAACCACCCACAGCUAAACCCAGGUUACUGUGAAGAUGAAAGGAGAUGAUGUGUGUAACACUCACAGACUGGGACCCAGGAUGUAUGCAUCAGAUUUUAGGGAAACAUUGGUCUUCUUUCUCACCAUGGUUCAAGGUCUUGGGAUGCCUCCAAGACACGCUGACAAAAAGUCCCAUGAUUUUGUAGCUUAGUGUGUUGUGCCACAAAAAAGCCUUCAAAAUUAUUAAAAUAAGUUUUCCCAUAACAAAAUAAGGGAUCUACAACUAAAUAGAAGUAUUAAUGAUUAUUUAAUACUUCAGAAAGAAUGAAAGAGAGGAGAGAUUUUCUAUACUUGGGGUCUAUGAAAUUCCCUUCUAUCCAUUAAAAAAAUAAAGAACUUUUAAAACAAGGUUGAAUAUGUUCCUCUUCUUCAUAACCAAGGUUCUCUAAGACAGAAAUAUUAACAGCAGAAAAAAUAUUGUGUUGAGAUUAAAUUAAGAAAAAUAUACAUAUAUAUGUACUUUUUUCCCCAGUUCAAAGGACGAUAAAAAAUAAACUACAUAUAUAUACCCCACAUAGAUAUAUAAAUAGUUAGAUAAAUAUAGAGAUAUAGAUAAUCUACUUUCAUGAUUUAUAAUAAGGACACAGAAAAAGGCUGGGAUGGCAGUGGGGAAUGAGCAGAGUCUGAAUUUCUGUACUCCAGCAUAGCACUUACACUAUGAGAAACAGUAUUAGCUAGAGCUAUGUUAGUGCAAUUGUUAAAAGCUCUGUAUUUUACAUGAAAACUUGAGCCAUUGAAAAUAACAGAAUUAGCUAGAACUGGCAUCAAGCCUUAAUGCCAGAAUGUAACCAGUCCACAGAGGUAGGAAGAUGUUCUUAGGCAGGGACCCAAAAAGAGGACUGACACAUAAUAAAGGAUCAGGAUAAUACAAGGCUAAUAAAAAAGAGAAAAGGGACUGAUGCUUUGCUAUUUCUGAGUAAGGAAUUCUUCUAGAUUCUUAGUGAGAAGGAAUUAAGGUAAAGCCAAAGCGAUACGUAGUAUUUAUGCUUUGUUGUAUAUAUUAUGGUUUAUGCAGCUUUUAAAUAAACUAUAUGUAGUUCAUUCUGUCUACGAUGGUAGCAAUAAUAGCUAUUAUUUAUUGAUGUCUUAUUAUAUACUUGAUGUUCAGCGAGGUAUUACAUAUGUCCACAUCUCUUUGCUCACAUGACUCCAAGCUGGCAUAGGCCUCUUCCCUGCAUCCAUCCUUCCAAGAGCAGAAAGCGUAUACCUGCUGGUGUAUGCUCCUUCAUUUCAAGGAGUUGCAAAGGAGUCUUAUAUAUAAAAGUGUGGAUGGAGCUUGGACAUGUGGGUGGAGGUGUCCAUUGGCAUAUGAACUGAGGCCCUUUGUAGUAUGGAUGGGAAGAGACAGAAGGUGGGCUGGGGGCUGGUUCUCCUACACUGCCACAGUCCAUCAUUAAACUUUGAAGAGUCCAAUAAUUCUAAACUAGAACCAUACCAUCUGGGUUUUAAUGAAAUUUGUCAAAGGUGGUAAGGGAUAAAAAAGACUUUAUUUAACAGUUAGCUUGAUUUUUAUAACCAUGAAGUAUUUAGCCAUAGGACACACGGUCCUCUAUUUGUACCCUUUUUCGGGGACUAUAAAUUCAGAGGUAGGUUUAGCACCUAGCACAGUGUCUG